rnacentral:ribozyme from 1 species
AGCAAUACUUCGCUGGUACGGGAAUGGAUCCGAAGCCUCCAGAAGGCUAACAUAGGCUCUCCAUUCCCUACUCCUACUCAAUACGUCCUCGUCGUACAGAACGGUAACAUGCCUCUCAAUUAUCCAAGCU